rnacentral:rRNA from 1 species
UGCAGAAUCCUUCCUUAGAGUUUGAUCCUGGCUCAGGACGAACGCUGGCGGCGUGCCUAACACAUGCAAGUCGAACGGGACCCGCAAGGGUCCAGUGGCGAACGGGUGCGUAACACGUGAGGAACGUGCCCAUCGGCGGGGGAUAGCCGGCCCAACGGCCGGGUAAUACCGCGUACGCUCCCUGGGGCGCAUGUCCCGGGGAGGAAAGCAGCAAUGCACCGAUGGAGCGCCUCGCGGCCUAUCAGCUAGUUGGCGGGGUAAUGGCCCACCAAGGCGACGACGGGUAGCUGGUCUGAGAGGAUGGCCAGCCACAUUGGGACUGAGACACGGCCCAGACUCCUACGGGAGGCAGCAGUGGGGAAUAUUGCGCAAUGGCCGAAAGGCUGACGCAGCGACGCCGCGUGCGGGAUGACGGCCUUCGGGUUGUAAACCGCUGUCGGGAGGGACGAAGCUCUGACGGUACCUCCAAAGGAAGCACCGGCUAACUCCGUGCCAGCAGCCGCGGUAAUACGGAGGGUGCGAGCGUUGUCCGGAAUCACUGGGCGUAAAGGGCGCGUAGGCGGCCCGGUAAGUAGGGGGUGAAAUCCUGCGGCUCAACCGCAGAACCGCCUUCUAGACUGCCAGGCUCGAGCACAGUAGAGGCAGACGGAAUUCCCGGUGUAGCGGUGGAAUGCGUAGAGAUCGGGAAGAACACCGGUGGCGAARGCGGUCUGCUGGGCUGUUGCUGACGCUGAGGCGCGACAGCGUGGGGAGCAAACAGGAUUAGAUACCCUGGUAGUCCACGCCGUAAACGAUGGGUACUAGGCGUCGGGGGGAGCGACCCUCCCGGUGCCGUCGCUAACGCACUAAGUACCCCGCCUGGGGAGUACGGCCGCAAGGCUGAAACUCAAAGGAAUUGACG